GGCCCCUUGGUCAAGUGGUUAAGACACCGCCCUUUCACGGCGGUAACAGGGGUCCGAGUCCCCUAGGGGUCACCA
rnacentral:tRNA from 2 species